AGAAUAAAAAAAGUAAACAAGUAAUCAAAAACAAAACAUUAGAAGAAUGUUUAUUUACAUGGUUUCUGUAAGUAAGAGCGGUAGGACAACCAAUUUCAAGACCAAUUUUACAGGCAAAAGCAUUGCAAUUAAAUAAUUUACUCAAAGGUCCUUCCAAUUUUAAAGCAAGUAACGGUUGGUUGACCAAUUUCAAAAACAGAUACAAUAUUCGACAAUUAAGGAUAUCAGGAGAAAUUCUAUCCAACAAUGCCGAAGCUGCAAAAAUAUUUCACGAUGAAAUUAUAGAAAAAAUUAAAACAGAAAAUCUUCUUUUAGAAAAUGUAAUGCUGACGAAAUUGGCAUUUAUUGGAAAUCAUUUCCAAACGUAACUUUAGCAUCUCAAGAGGAAAAAACAGCUCCCGGAAGAAAAAAUUACAAAGAUCAUGUAACAGCUUUAUUUUGCUCCAAUGCUAACCGGAUUUUGCUCCUAACCGGAACUAACAAAAUAAAGUUGUGCAUAAUUGGAAAAUUUGCUAAACCAAGAUCAAUAAAAAAUAUUAAAAAUUUACCGGUUGUAUAUAAAUCGCAAAAAAGUGGUUGGAUGAGUCAAAAUCUGUUUAAAGAAUGGUAUCAAGACAACUUUAUUCCAGAAAUAUUAGAGCACCAAAGAAAAAAUUAUAUCAGCGGUAAAGUAUUAUUGCUGUUGGAUAAUGACCCGUCCCAUCCGCCUGUUGAUAUGCUAAACAACAUAAAUAAAAAUUUUGAGGUAAAAUAUUUAUCACCAAAUGUAACAGCAAUUAUACAACCUCUGGACCAGGGUGUUAUUUCGAUUACCAAAAAGUUGUACAAAAAACAAUUUUUAUUGAAAUUGGUAUUAGAAGAAAAGCAACUCAACAUACAGAUUUUUUGAAAACUUUUACUCUUAGAGAUUGCAUCACUCUAAUUAGUACUGCUUGGAACAGUAUUCGGUCAUCAACUUUAAAUAAAGUAUGGAAACCCAUGUUGGGAGAUUUACUUUCAGUUCACACAUACAAUGAUUCUACAAGUGAAAAAAAUAAUGAAUCUGUUGAAGAAUUUAUUGAAGAAUGUGCUAAACUUUAUAACUGUACUUCUCAAUUAAUACAAAAUAUUAUUGAAGUUUCUGAAAUAAAAAAAUGGAUUGCUACAGAAGAAGGCGAUGAAGGUUGGACAUGUUUAACAGAUAUAGAAAUAAUUGAAAAUAUUGUAAAUCGCAAUGAAGAAUUUGCCAAAACUGAAAACAUUAAAGAUAAUUUUCCCGGAGAAAGUAAUAAUCAACCAUUGACAAAAAUAUCUCAUAUACAAGCUUAUCAAUAUUUUCAAGUUAUUAAGAAUUGGUGUGAGCAACAAAAUGAGUGCGAAAUUACUGAUAUUCUCUUGAUAAACAAAUUAUUAGAAAUUGCAGC